rnacentral:rRNA from 1 species
UCGGAUUAUUGGGCGUAAGAGCUUGUAGGCGGUUGAUCACGUCGGAAGUGAAAUUCCAGGGCUUAACUCUGGGCUUGCUUUCGAUACGGGUUGACUUGAGGAAUGUAGGGGAGAAUGGAACUCUCGGUGGAGCGGUGGAAUGCGCAGAUAUCGGGAAGAACACCAGUGGCGAAGGCGGUUCUCUGGACAUUUCCUGACGCUGAGAAGCGAAAGCGUGGGGAGCAAACAGGCUUAGAUACCCUGGUAGUCCACGCCGUAAACGGUGGGUACUAGGUGUGGGUCCCUUCCACGGGGUCCGUGCCGUAGCUAACGCAUUAAGUACCCCGCCUGGGGAGUACGGCCGCAAGGCUAAAACUCAAAGGAAUUGACGGGGCCCCGCACAAGCGGCGGAGCAUGCGGAUUAAUUCGAUGCAACGCGAAGAACCUUACCUGGGUUUGACAUGUACUGGAAGCGUUCAGAGAUGGGCGUGCCUUUUUGGCUGGUACACAGGUGGUGCAUGGCUGUCGUCAGCUCGUGUCGUGAGAUGUUGGGUUAAGUCCCGCAACGAGCGCAACCCUCGUCCAAUGUUGCCAGCAGUUCGGCUGGGGACUCAUUGGAGACCGCCGGGGCCAACUCGGAGGAAGGUGGGGAUGAGGUCAAGUCAUCAUGCCCCUUAUGUCCAGGGCUUCACGCAUGCUACAAUGGCCGGUACAAAGAGUUGCGAGCCUGUGAGGGUGAGCGAAUCUCAGAAAGCCGGUCUCAGUUCGGAUUGGGGUCUGCAACUCGACCCCAUGAAGUCGGAGUCGCUAGUAAUCGCAGAUCAGCAACGCUGCGGUGAAUACGUUCCCGGGGCUUGUACACACCGCCCGUCAAGUCAUGAAAGUCGGUAACACCCGAAGCCGGUGGCCCAACCUUUUGGGGGGAGCCGUCGAAGUGGGACUGGUGAUUAGACUAGUC